rnacentral:tRNA from 1 species
GCGCCGCUAGCUCAAUGGAAGAGCAUCCGCCUCUUAAGCGGAGGGUUCGGGGUUCGAGACCCCGGCGGCGCAC